UGUCCAGUAGCACCUUAGAGACCAACUAAGUUUGUUCUUGGUAUAAGCUUAUACCAAGAACUUAGUUGGUCUCUAAGGUGCUACUGGAUG